AGAGUGUGAGUAAUAUCUGCGGAGAACAAAGGAAGCCGCCGGGCUACGUUUGGCGGUUGCAUCUUUUUCACCUUGCCUGCCCUUAUUCCAUACAGUGACAUACAUUUAAUAAUUUUUUCCUUCCUUUAAAAUGUGAUUCUGCCGGAAAAAUUUGUUUCUUCUUCGAUAAAACUUGUUACAAUAUUCAACAGAAAAUUCCACGCUCGGAAUAAUUCACUUUCUCAAGUAAAAAAAUCAACUAUUUCAAGUCCUCCCUAUACGAUCCCGUGUGUUCUCCGCAGUUACGAACAUUUAACCUCAAACCCAUAUCCAGGUAUGGGUAGAUGGUAUUGGACACCCUGUAUAGGUACUCUACCCGCUUCCAACUCGGUUCAAUUUUAGGAUGGCGAUGGCGAACCGGCAACGUAUUGUGUGAUCUGUAAUUCUGUGUUAUGAAGCAUGCGGCCGAAGCUUUGUGAAAUUAGGAAUAUUCUGAAUCAUUUACCAUUUAUCGCGUACAAUCGUCAUUUACACAUCAUUUUUGGUGCAAUCGGCAGACAGUUCUCACAGAAAUUUGUCACCGUCCAUCAUCAAUUGGUCUCAGUCGACACACAACUUCAGUGUUACUGUCAAAAUGGAUAGUAACUCUUCGGAAGAUCAUGUACCACCAGUUGAUAAUGCAUCCGUAGACAAUGCAAACCCUCAAGAUAUUGAAGAAAUGGAUAUUACAGACGACCAUCCAUUUUUAUCUUAUGAUCAAGGGUCAAGUUCCAGUGAAUACUCGGACUCUUCUCAAGAUUCCUUCGAUGAUGAUGCCUCUCAGACAAGUGAUAUCCGUGUCAUCAGUGAGGUAUCCAGUUGCCAAGUUCCUGUCACCAACUUUGAGGAAGGAAAAGCUAGAAUUCAAGUACCAGUAUCAUUAAAGUGUUCUUCAAUCCUGUUCAGGAAUUCAAUCGAGAUCUCAGGUACAGGCAAAUUAUUGUUUUCCUCGUUUAAGAUUAUUUUUAGGGUAUCUAUCACAAAUUUAUCUCCUGUUAAGUUAAAAUGUUGAAUUUAUGGUAUAAUGAUGCUUGCUGAGGAUCAUAUCAGUAUGAGAGAUGGUAAGCAAUUCGAGAAAAUUUUCAAGAAAUUAUAAGCCCUCCUAGAAACUUGCAAAGUCUUAGCAGAAACUUUGAGCUUAACAGGGGAUUUCUGGUAAAAUUACUAUGAAAUUGGAAUAUUAGGAGUAAGGAAGAAAAGUGCCAUUUUAGCAAGUAGCCAGUAUCUUAGAAUUUUCUAGGACCCUUCACUUAGUACAAGAUAUGAUAGUAAAACUGCAAAAACGUGAAUCUUGGUUUGCAACGCUGCAGACUUCUCGUCAUAACUUAUUUUCUAAGUAAUAAAAUACUCAACAUCAUUUCUAAAAACUCCUGAUUUUGCUUUAAUGUAUGAAGAAUAUCUCGUGUCAUUUUCAAGCAAUAGUUUUGGUUUGUUCUCCUUUGAUAAUAGGAAAUAGGAGCAGAGAGUUUGAAACAUUGCAAACAAGGUACGCGUUUUUACAGUUUCUUUGAGGAUGUAUCCCUUGUCAACAGCAAUAAACAAGCAAUGAAUAACUGGAUAAUUUUAUAAUUUUUUAAGUUGAACUUCAGAAAGUUUAUUGAAUUUUUCAAACUAAUGUUUUGAUCAAAGUUGUUGUAUUUACUACAGAAUUCUAAAUUAAUGCUCUAUUCAUUUAUUUUUCCUCAAAUUACUCUCAGAACAUUUUGUUUUUGUUCAAUUUUUACCAACAUUUGCUUUAAUAUUUGAUCAGAUUAAAUUAAUUUAUCAUUUUGAUAAUAUUUAAUAUUAAUUAAAUAUUUUUUGUAGUAUUGCUGUAUGACUCUGUUUGCGGAGGAUCAUUUUAAGAGGAAAGGUCUACUACCUCUAAAAGAAAAAGCAAGAAGGGAGAUUCAAGUCAAAACAUUGAUGACCUAUAUUCACUUCACUUGUCUGCUGGAAUUAGAUACAAGGUGAGAAAAACGUCAAAAUUCGUGUUUCCUCAAAGUGAUCCCUCAUGUCAUCCAUGUACAUCAAAUAGGUGCAUGUAAAGGGAGCAGUAUGAGGACCUCAAGUAAUAGAAUUAAAAUUUUUGAUAAGAUGCUGUGUCAAUCAGCUGUGUCCAUCGUAUGCUUAUUUGGGUCCACUGUGCCUAGAUUAGAGUGGAGCAGUUUAUCAAGAAAUCAUCCAAUUGAAUUCAGAUGUACAGCAAUUGAUGCUCCUCGGAAAUAUAAAAAAUGAAGUCCCUCUCAAAUUUGUCCAAAAUACUAUCCUCUUUAAUUACAUUAAGCCUGAAAGGAGCAAUUUGUGAAUGCAAAGUUCAGGGUGUCCAAAGAAUCAAUCUGAAAUGAUAUUGCCAAGAUACAGUCCUUUGGGCAGAAUUUGUCUGUUUUGACGUAUUUUUAAGAAAAAUGAAAUUGGAGCUUUGAGGAGCUAGGAAUCACUUUUAUCCCACCCCUUCCAACCUUGAGACAAAUCAUAGUUGCCAAGGGGUUGCAUACAGUCAUUUCCAGUCAUUGAAUUGGAAAGAAUUUGUAGUGAUUUUAAUGAAAAUUUUGCCAGUUUUUCCUAAUUUCCCAUCGUUUAGGCAAGAACAAUAAAUUUUAAGUGGGAGAGUUUGAACGGUUCUCCCACGCCUGUCCAAGUGGAAAUUCAAGCUGCUCGGUUCAGCACUGCAUUACUUACUUUGGUGAAGGAGGCUCCUCUGUGACGAGGAAUUUAGAUCAGGGGAAAGUCUGGGCGCAGUAUCUGUAUAUAUCUCUGUUUCUAAUAAAACUGAGUUACCUCUUUAGAAGGAAAAACCUAUGGUCCGGCUCAGUAGAAAACAGGUUCAUGAUUUCUUCUGCAACAUAAAAGCGCUUGGAAGCGCUAAAAGUACAACAAAAACGACUAUGAUCUUCGAAAGUAAAGCUAAAAUCAAGCACCUGCCAUUAUUUUGUCAUAAAUAUGAGUUCAUACUAUAAAAACAUUGCUACAGUGUCUCACAACUGAAGUAUUUCCCUUUUUAAAUCAAUCAUUUGCCGUAGCAAACCAAUGAAUAUCAUUCAAACUAAAAAGAAAGAAAAUUGCUUUCAGAGAAAUAUAUCCAGGUGUGAAAUUAUUCUCAAUCUUGCACGGCUGCAACCAAAUUGUGAAAUUGCCCCAAAAAUAAUCGAGGCUGAGCAUUUUUUUUUUAAAAUCUUCAGAUUUUCAACUCAUGUGGAAUAAUGCGACUUGGGCACACAUUCUAAAUUAACAAAAUAAUUCAAUAUUUCGAUCAGCGUUUUGUGUUACCUUUUUGUGAAAAUCUAGUGUGUUUGAGAAAAUUGCAAAGGCCUCCUGGAAAAGUUCUGAGGCUUAGAACAAUUUGCACCCCUGAGUGUAUCUUGAUAAUUUGGAAUCCAUUCAGGUGACUUACAGUGUAUGAAAUAAUGCAACUCAUGAGUCAGAUGAACACAAUUGACAGAUCUACUAGGAAAUAUUAGUUAACAGUUCAGUGAUUGGAUUAGUUUUUUUUUCUUCCUUAUAUUUUCUCUUCAUGCCUUUUUGCUUAAUAUAUCAAUAGCUAAUGGCUGAAACCAUGCAUCCUAAUGAGUCAGUUAAGUCAUUUUUUUUAUUGUGUCAUUCGAAAGUAGUAAGUGACCGAAGCUUACAGUUUUUUUCCUAAUUUUUUUUGAUGACUGCAAACGGGAGAAAAGUUUAUUUGAAAGUGCCAAAAACUAGGGUGGCCUAGAACGGCGUUUGAACCGCGCGCUCGUAGGUUUCGAAUGUACACGUCACAAUCAAUAUGGCGGCGGAAUGCGUAGUGGAAGAAUACAUGGCAGCGUCGCGUUGGCGGUGUGAUUUGUUGGUCAAUUGGAGAUUGGUUACUUUGUUUGAGAUUCAUAUCCAUUGUUCUUAAUUCUCUGAGCUUUUCAAUCAGUAUGCGAUACAGAUAUAUGUAGGAUAUGAAACUUUCACACAAAACUUACCUAACCUCAAACGAGAAAUCGUGAUGUCAACAACGGCAGCGUGGCGGUAGUAGGCAGGUCGGCUUCGGCGCCGCCAUCUUCCCGUUCUAUGACGAGUAGAUUCGAAGAUUCACGGCGGUCGGUUCAAACAUGUUUUCGAGGACCCCUAAAAAGGAAGCGCUAUAUCUCCGCGGAGACAAUUUUUCGUGAAAUUUAACGUGCGCAUCGUUCUUCUCGUACCGAAAACUGUAAGAUUCGACUAUUAGCAGGCAAAUCCCUCCCGAGCUUAACUGACUCAUUGCAGUGUUUUAAAAUUUGCUCCUAUUUCAUUUCUUCAUAGAGAAACAAGCUUACAUUUUAGCUUGUGCUUACAGAGGAGAAAAUCAAGGAAGUUUUCAAGAAAUUACAUUGACCAGUUUUCUCAUAAAAAUACAAAGUAUGACAGGAAGUCAGCAAUGUUGCAAACGAAGAUGUGUGGUUUUGCACUUUGGCCAUGGAUAUAAUGGAUAGGAAAUUUACAAGUUCAUAGAAACAGUUUAAGAGCUUUUACUCUCUGAUUGUAAUGAAAGGUGGACUCAAAUAAAAUAAAUUCAUAACAAAGGACCUGACAACUACAUCAAUAGAUGUGGGCCCCUCCAUCAGAAGUGAUAGAUCAGUUUUAUCAGAAAACAACUCAUUUUGACCAACCGAUAAUUAUGCCCUGUGAACUUCAUUGGAACUGUGGUGCAACUUCAUCAGGGUAGCACUGGGAUUGCUAGUCAUAGAUUUACCUCCCUAAAGCAAGAAUACAAUUCUAGCGUAACAUACUGGCUGGAAAUAUAAAAACUGGUGCUAAUGAAUUAUGUUAUCUUUUUAUAUUUGUUAAAUUUUAAAAAUUUCAUCUCUGAAUAAUCACCUUAAUUUCAAUACUUUCCAUGAUGAUAAUAUUUGGAUUUCAUUUUGCAAAAAGGAACCAGAGCAUUCCAAUGUUGCUAAGAUCGUGUAACUUGUUUUACAUUGUAAAUAUAACCCGAUCAUCUAAACAAGUUUUAUCUUUAACCCCUAUAAGCUAUGAAUUCAAGCCGAAAAUCACCUUUGUAAAUUUAAUUUCUUCCAUGAUUCCCAGAAUUUUUUGCAAAGAAUGUAAUUCGCACAAUCCUAGAAACACUGGGGGUACUCUUGGUUCCUUUUUGCAAAUUGCAGUCAAAUUUCCAAAAUGAAAUUUUCUUAACUAGUUAAAAGACCUGUCAUCUGUAUUUAUUCAUCUAUCAGGGAAUCAGAAAUCAUUUUU
rnacentral:lncRNA from 1 species